CUAAGGGCAUUUUUACACAUUUCAUUUAAUCAUUUUAUCACAAACCUAGAUCAAUGUAGUUUUUGUUUGUGGGGUUUUUCCAUACAUGUAUUUUGAGGAAAUUCACAGAUAUUCGUAUUCUGCUACUGUUUUUGAAUACGAUACCCUAUAUCUAUAUCGUUUACCCUAAUCCUGUCCCUAAUUCUAUCCCUUAUAUUGUCCUUGAUCCAACCCUUAAUGGAACCCUAAAUCCAACCACUAAUCCAACCCAUAAUCUAAUUGCUUUUCCUACCCCGUUCCAACCCAUAAUCUAUCCUGAAUCCAACACUAAUUUUACCUGUCAUCCUACCCUAAUUCAACCCAUAAUCCUACCUAUUAUCCCAGUCACAAUCCCACUCUCUAAUCCCACCUCUUAAGGAAUUCCCUCUGCUGAUGUCAGUCAUGACAUCAGCAGAGGGAAUUCCUAGCGCACACAUUACAGAUGAUCCAGUAUUUAAAAGGGCUAUGAGUCUGGGGUUCUUUUGUACCAGCAUGGCUUUAACUCCUGCUGGUACUUCCACUGCAUGAUAGUCUAUGCCAUCACAAUGCACAAGGCCCUGCCCUACAUGACAGCAUAAACCAUCAUGUAGUCAUUAAGUGGUUAAAGUAGUUGGUUAUCAUCUCCACUAAGAUUUAAAACAUUUUUAAUUUCAACAAGAUGCUCACUUUUUGAUGUAAAGACCUUUAUUGAAUAAUUGUUUUUUUGUUGUUGUUGUUUUUUUGAGAAAUUGCAUAUUGAUAUAUAUUAAUAGGUGAAGUCAUGCAGCUUAAAUAGAUCUAUAGCCCAUUCUACUUAUAACCUCCCCAGUGCUAGAGUUUCAUUUUACUCCCAGACUUCCGGUUUCUUUUCCAACAAAAGUGAUAUAGUAAUGAAAUAUAAACAUGUGUUGGAUAGACAUAGGGAUAUUCAAGUCAUCAGAGAAGGUAAAAGGUCAAAUACGAUUUGCAGUUUUAUAGUAGAAAGAAUUUUGGACAGAUUAGAUGGCUAAGAAGAUCUUGCUAUUUGCCUUUGAUUACAUGUGCAUACAGUUGCCAGAGGUACAUGUAAAAUGAUGCCCUGCAGUGCCAGAAUUCAUAUGGGGUGGGAAGGAAAUCAGUUUAUCAGUCAUAGUGAAAUUCCCAAGUACUUGCCUUACCUAGUUAAAGGGACACCCCAGACACCUAAAGCACUUGCUAAAAAACUUUAUGUGUAAAGAGUGUGUUCUCUUUUUUUUGUUGUUGCAAAAAGUGCAUAUUUCAGUAGAAAUUGACACUUUUAUAAGUUAUCUGGUUACACCUUCUUAACUGUCAAGCAGACAACCGGUCCUGUAACUUCCUGGUUUGGUUAGCUCAGUGGAAUUAAAACCAAGAGGCGGCAAUUGCUUAGAACACCAGCCUUGCAAAGGCUUCUCAUUGAGCUGUAGUGGGAAGUCUGUGAUUGGACAGCCACAAAAGUCUGGCUGGGAUUAGAAGGUGAGGGCUGGCAAAAGCAGCAGACAAGAAAUCUGCAGGUUUUGCAAGCUGUUUUUAGAUUAUACCCCAAUGAAUACAUGCAUAAUUAAAUGCAUACAUGACAUUUGGGGUUUACCUACGAAACAGUGAUUUUUGUAUAUUUUUUUAUUUGGUCAGUGGAGUGUCCCUUUAACUGAAUUCCCUCUUGUACAUGCCAAACAUACACACAAGGGUGCUCUUUUCAUGUAAUGCCAAUUAGCAGGUAGAAAUUAUAUGAGGCAAGUAAAUGUAGUGGUUCUGGUAAUCCUUCAUAUAUACCUUCCUAUAGGUGUAUAUGAAGGGCUUUUCCUCCACACAUUUUGUGUAUAAAUAAUACACUUUAACAGAUAACAAAUGUUGAGAAACUGCUCUGCACAUAGUUUCUGUUAAUAAAGAGAUAUCUGAAUAUAUUUUUUUAGACUUUUUUUAACCUAGAGAUAAGAUAAAUCAUUAAAAAAAAAGUUUAUUUUUUCUUUUACAUGGUACUUCUACGUUUUCAAUGUUCAAUAUUAUACAUUUAUUAUUACAUUUUCUUUUAAUAUUUUAUAUAAAAACUAAUCUUGGACAAUGUCAAUUAAAAACAGAAAAUACAAAUAUUAAUUAAAUAUUAAAUGCAUGGAAAAAUAGUGAUAUAAACCCUAGAUUAAGAUUUUUUUUUUUUUAUCUAUUGCUCUGAAACAAAAAGGUGUGCUGGUGCUUUAUAAUGUAAGGUAGCCACCAAAAUGCGUUUCAGGGUGACACAGCAAAUUUCUCCAAAUAUAUCAGAAAUGUUCAGCUAAACCCUACAUGCCUGUGCCUUAACAAAGUAUUGUUCAACUUUUUUUUCUUUUUUCCUAAUCUUGAAGCAUUAAUAAUAUAUAUUUCCAGUCAAUUACUACCCAUAGACUGUGACUAAGGCUACAGAAAAAAAUGAAUAGCAUGUGGUAUCAAUUUUGCUAAUUCAUGGGUAAUAUUGUAUUUCCCAUAAAGUGACACUUACAGGGUUAUUUACUAAAGAGAGAAUUCAUGUAAAUUCAAAGAGAAUUUAAAAUUCCAGGCACUCUAGAUCCCUCCGCUUCCCCCCACCCUCGUGCCUCCCCACCGCUGUAAAACUCUUUAUUUACUUACCUUACCCCAGAGCCGAUUUCCCUCGGUGCUGGGUCGCGGCUCCACCUCCUCCGAAUUCCCGGGAUGAGCUGGCAUUGAAUCAAAUCUUUCCUAUGGGGAAAAAAAAAGAUGCUGGAUGUCCUUAUGCAGAGCGUGAGGACAUCCAAUGUCAGUUACCAGACCAAAGGUCUGUUUGGAUGUCGGAAGCGCCUCCAGUGGCUGUCAGACAGCCACUGUGUGCAGUUCUCUGGAACUGCAAUGUUUAACAUUGCAUCACUAAGGGCAAUAGGGACAUUUGUAUCCAAAUCACUUCAAUGAGCUGAAGUGGUCUGGGUGCCUAUAGUGUCCCUUUAAGACCAGAGUCCUCCCCAUAGGAAAGCAAUGACUCCAUGCUUUCCUGCAGGGGUUUUUAAAAUACUGGAUGUCUUCAUACAAAGCGUGAGUACAUCCAGCGUCGUUUUACUUAGUCAAACUGCAUGAAACUGCAUAAAGUGCUUCUAGUGACUGUCUGAUAGACUGCCACUUGUGGCAGUCUUAACACUGCAAUGUAAACAUCGCAGUUUCUCUAAAACUGCAAUGUUUUACUUUGCAGGGUUCAGAUUACAGGGUCACUGCACCCAGACCACUUUAAUGAGAUGAACUGGUCUGGGUGCCUACCGUGUCCCUUUAAAUUUGAAAUUCACUUUAAAUUCUCACUUUAGUGAUUAACCCUACUAGUCAUGUAUGGUAUGACACUUUAAUUGUAAUGUAAAUGGCUAUGUGAGAAGUGUUUGAUUCAUCUUGCAAAUGUUUGCAUUAAUGUUAUGCCCCGUGUAGGAUAUUUGUGUAUCAGAGAAGUGUGAAUGAUUUGCCCAUAUAUAAAGCACUUAAAGGUUUAACUACAUAAUUUAAAGUAAGUAUAUUUUUGUCUAACGACCACUUUGUAAAAUACACUUUAUUGUAGUUAUUUACUUUAUUUAGAGAAAUUUAUAUUUUUUCAUAUGUUUACUGCAUUAGGGUGAUGGGAACAGAUAAUCAUUAUAUGCUGUUUUGGUGGGAUAGAGCGGGAUGAUCAUGUGUUAAAUCUGAAAAAGUUUGUUUUGUCAACAUGAUAUUUACAUAUAUACAUAUAUAAAGUAGGAUGAAUUACCACCAACAUGAAUGCAUUAAGUAAUACCAAUAAUAAAAAAAUUAAGAAACUUCUACCCCUGUAUAGUCAUCCAUGGACCAGGAACUGGCUGCCAUACUCCUGGCCUCUAGUUGCUUUGUAUAUGAGAACAUAUCUUGCAGUAGAACUGAAUAUAGGAGUGCAGUCUCAAUUUGGCACCUCUUUUCUGCUCUGGGUGUUUUUCCUGGUGUCCUGCUUUUGGGAACACCAAAGAAAGUCCCCAAAUAACCCAGACGGCAUGAUUUUUUGUGCAGGUGACUGGAUGUUUCUGUUUAUAAGACAAUGCUUCUGCAGCACACUGUUCAUGUUCAGUCUUAGUUGGCAGGCUGGAAAAGCUGCUUACAAUAAACACCCACACUUUUAAAGGGAAACUAUAGUGCUGGAAAUACAAAGUUGUAUUCCUAGCAUUAUAGUGCCCCCUCUAUCUUGCACUCCCCGCAGCUCUGAAUGAGUUAAAAACCCAUUUGUCACUUACAUGAUUCCAGCACUGAUGUCCAUUGGCGCUGGGUGAGUCUGCGCCUCCUCUCCUCCUCAGCCGUCAGCCGACGGGGGUGACCUAAAGCGCAAGCGCUGUGAGUGCUGCAAUCGCAUUAGGACUUCCCUGAUAGGAAACAUUAAUUCAGUGACUUCCUAAGGGGUUUUAGCUGACACUGGGUGUCCUCAUGCAAAGCGUGGUUCUGUUGGGUCUUCUUUCUAAGAAAUCUAAGAUUGUGGCCGUCAAAAUUCUUCUCUUCUGUCCUUUAUAGGGCAUGUGUGUGAAACCACGUGCAUAUUCAGUACACUUAUAGACCUUAUAGUACAAUUAAACGAAAGUCAACACAGAGGAUCCAUGAGGCAGGUGGGACGUGGGUAAAGAACUAGACUGCCAAUGACCAAGUUAACAGAGGAUGUAGAACUUGAGUAGAGUGCCACCCGUUCUCAACUUCUGACAACCUGCAGGUUAUACCUAAGGAACAGUUGUCCCUACUUUUCCUUAUGCAUAACUUUAAAAAUAAACAUGAUUUUAAAAAAAGGGUAGCCCAGUGACAGAGCCACAGUAAGUACCAGUUACAUUAUUAGCAUAACCCCUCAUUGAUCAUACAACUCCUGCAUACUGGGCAUGUGUGCGUGUGUAUAAGAUCACACUCAUAUAUGUCAGCAAUCCACAAAUUAAUAGAAUAUACUCUCCAAUAUUUAGUACAGCCAAUAGCUAAUGCCAGGACAGCUUGCAUUCACUUAGGCAAGAGGCUUCUUUUAGUUUUUAAAUAAAUAAAUGGGAAACUGCUCAUAGCGGUAGAGUGUUUAAAAGGUGGUAAAGCUAUACUAGUUGCCUCAUCACUGCCUGUUAGAAGACAGGGAUUAGACUAGGACAUCAUACAAAAAUGUGGAUACCUACACAAAUCAGGCUUUGACAGAUGCUUAUUUUCCACCUUUGGUGCCUGAAAUUUGCCUUCAAAUGUUAAAUGUUUCUAUUGACCAAAUGCAUUUUGCACACGUUUUGAAGAUGCUUAAGUGAUUUUGUAAAAAACAUUUCUUUUGCCUAUUGUAUAACACAUGGUUUAAAGUUAGUUGUAUAUUUUUUUCAAAUGUCUUUUUUUAUAGGGCUCAUAAAAUUUUGUUAUUUCUGGAAAAAAAAG
rnacentral:lncRNA from 1 species